UUAGAAAAGAAUAGCACAAACAAGUAUAAUAUUUGGAUGAUGGCCGAGAUAAAUAUAUUUUCAAAUGGCAAAUCCUUUUGUUUGAUCCUGAUUUAAGAAAACUAUAUGCUCGUGACAAAAGUUGCUUCAGGGAUUAGGUUUUUAUUCUCAAAACAUACUAUUUCAUUAUACUUUUGGUUUAUAAUGUUUGUAUCAAAUUCACAAUGCUUUGCUACAGUGACUUGCAUGAAGAACAAAUAUGUAUAUACUAUAGAUAAAGAUGUACAGACAUAGAAACAUUGACGAGUGCUUUUAUAAUUUAUGUUUAAUUGGGCAUGUACUGUUUGGUUGCUAGCGCGCAUCUUGUGUAUAAAUUUCUUCCUGUAUAUAUAUUUCAACAAGUUAUAAUUUUGCAUAUCCUUGCAUUCAACCUGAACAAUUUAGCCUUCAGGUCAUUUCAGGGCUCCUGCUGGUGCCAUUGACUCUUGUGCUGACCAUCGUUGUGUUUUGGCAUGUUUAUCUUAUUCUGCAAAACAAGACCACAAUAGAGUACCAUGAAGGUGUGAGAGCUAUGUGGCUUGCUGAAAAAGGAGGUUAUCUGUAUUCACAUCCAUAUGAUCUUGGUGCUUAUGAGAAUAUGAUAUCAGUUUUAGGACCACAUAUCUUUUGCUGGGUAUGUCCCACCUCAGAGCAGAUUGGUUCUGGCCUUCGUUUUCGCGCGGGAGUUGAUAAGUUAGCAGGGAUAUCAUUUUAGACAUGUAGAGCUUGGAGUUUCAAUGAUUUUGUACUGCUGGUAGUAUUGGAGGCAAGGCAACAUGUCCUAUAUCAUUCAUUGAUGAUAAUCAAAUUCUGGUGUCCGCGUGCUUUCUUUUUGGAAAUACAACCAUUAAAAAAGAGUUUGUCUUGUGUAGCUCCUCCUUACAUCCAUGUUGUUGCAGAAGUAGUUCAAAGUUGACUGGGCUUCUGAAGCAGUCAGAUGUAAAAUAGGACCCUCCUUCUUAUGACUUUUUUUUUUCCAAAAGUACAGUCCUCAUGCAAUCAUGUACAAAUGACAGAGUUCUAGGCUAACUCACAGCAACUUCAAGUAGAAGAGAUAGGCCAAAAAUUGUAACUUAAAGAUGUUGUAAUAUUGUGAUUCUCAGGAA